GACGAACGCUGGCGGCGUGCCUAAUACAUGCAAGUAGAACGCUGAAGAGAGGAGCUUGCUCUUCUUGGAUGAGUUGCGAACGGGUGAGUAACGCGUAGGUAACCUGCCUUGUAGCGGGGGAUAACUAUUGGAAACGAUAGCUAAUACCGCAUAACAAUGGAUGACCCAUGUCAUUUAUUUGAAAGGGGCAAAUGCUCCACUACAAGAUGGGCCUGCGUUGUAUUAGCUAGUAGGUGAGGUAACGGCUCACCUAGGCGACGAUACAUAGCCGACCUGAGAGGGUGAUCGGCCACACUGGGACUGAGACACGGCCCAGACUCCUACGGGAGGCAGCAGUAGGGAAUCUUCGGCAAUGGGGGCAACCCUGACCGAGCAACGCCGCGUGAGUGAAGAAGGUUUUCGGAGCGUAAAGCUCUGUUGUAAGUCAAGAACGAGUGUGAGAGUGGAAAGUUCACACUGUGACGGUAGCUUACCAGAAAGGGACGGCUAACUACGUGCCAGCAGCCGCGGUAAUACGUAGGUCCCGAGCGUUGUCCGGAUUUAUUGGGCGUAAAGCGAGCGCAGGCGGUUUGAUAAGUCUGAAGUUAAAGGCUGUGGCUCAACCAUAGUUCGCUUUGGAAACUGUCAAACUUGAGUGCAGAAGGGGAGAGUGGAAUUCCAUGUGUAGCGGUGAAAUGCGUAGAUAUAUGGAGGAACACCGGUGGCGAAAGCGGCUCUCUGGUCUGUAACUGACGCUGAGGCUCGAAAGCGUGGGGAGCGAACAGGAUUAGAUACCCUGGUAGUCCACGCCGUAAACGAUGAGUGCUAGGUGUUGGAUCCUUUCCGGGAUUCAGUGCCGCAGCUAACGCAUUAAGCACUCCGCCUGGGGAGUACGACCGCAAGGUUGAAACUCAAAGGAAUUGACGGGGGCCCGCACAAGCGGUGGAGCAUGUGGUUUAAUUCGAAGCAACGCGAAGAACCUUACCAGGUCUUGACAUCCCGAUGCUAUUUCUAGAGAUAGAAAGUUACUUCGGUACAUCGGUGACAGGUGGUGCAUGGUUGUCGUCAGCUCGUGUCGUGAGAUGUUGGGUUAAGUCCCGCAACGAGCGCAACCCCUAUUGUUAGUUGCCAUCAUUCAGUUGGGCACUCUAGCGAGACUGCCGGUAAUAAACCGGAGGAAGGUGGGGAUGACGUCAAAUCAUCAUGCCCCUUAUGCCCUGGGCUACACACGUGCUACAAUGGUUGGUACAACGAGUUGCGAGUCGGUGACGGCAAGCUAAUCUCUUAAAGCCAACCUCAGUUCGGAUUGUAGGCUGCAACUCGCCUACAUGAAGUCGGAAUCGCUAGUAAUCGCGGAUCAGCACGCCGCGGUGAAUACGUUCCCGGGCCU
rnacentral:rRNA from 1 species